GCGGGUAUGGCCCUAAAAGGACAAAAAAAAAAAAAAAAAAAAAAAAAGAAUGGGUAGAGAGCUAUGCAAAUGGUGUUCUUUUGAAGACUAGGGGAGAUGUUCUCCCAUUAAAAACUUUCUGGUGUAACAGUCCCUGAAAUCCCACCUUUGAACAACUUCUUUGAGCCAAUCAUGCCCUCUUCUGUGCAGUUUUCAUUUAAAAUGAAGACAUUCAGUUUUCAACAAUGUAUAAAUUUCCUGGUUGGUUGGUACAUUUUUAAAUGUUUGGAUUGGACCUCAAGUUAUUAGCACAAAGCCUGAAUUAAUUUAUUCAAGGCCCUAAAGGAGGCAUUCGGCACUAGAAGAAUACAAAAAAGGAGGUGCCAAAGUCAACAUCUACCUCCACCUCAAUUUGUGUUCCUGGACUUGCAGAGCUGAGAAGGGUGAGGGUAGGGUCUCCAGGGCCCGGCCUCAGCCUUUCUUAAUGCUGACAGACAGCCUGGAGUGGGCUGCCCAUACUCGAGCCCUGCCAUCACCAUUCAGCUGAGACUUUGGCAAUGACUCCUGAAGUCUGGAGCACCAGAGAUUCUUGGAGGUAGGAGAAAACCUCCUAGUAGUUGUGGGAAAUGUAUGGUUCUACUCUUACAGCUUGCUUGCUCCCAGUUAUCUCUGAAUAAAUUCAUCUAGCUGCUCUAUGGUGCAAAAAAUGAUACUGUAGCCGCCACAGAGGAUUAGAAACUGAGAAUCUCAUUAUUUAUUCUUACAGUACAUUUUAAAAUUGCUAAGUCAAUACAUAUUCUAAAUUAAGACCAGAAAGGAAAAGCUCUUUGGGUGAAAUUCUAGGCUUGAUCAAGAAUUGAAAUUGUAUAGAGAGAUUUAGAAACAUCUGGUAAUGUGUUAUUAAUAAGCUAGCAGAAAUGAAUCAACAAUUUCAACUGAGAAACAUUAAUUUGCAUAAAACAUUCAAUAAGAAAGAAUGCAUAAUAUACAUUUUUCAUUAUAUACAAUAAUUGUGCAAUCCAAACAUUUAAAAAUGCACCAACCAACCAGGAAAUUUAUACAUUGUUGAAAACUAGAUUGAAUUUAUAAAUGAAGAGAAAAAUCUGUAUUCUUAAAACAUUAUAUUUUAUUGUAUCUUGCAAAUAAUUAUAAUAUUAGCUGCGGUACAGAAGCAGAUAACAGAAGUAAAUCAGUUCUAAGUUCUCUUGAAGUGAAACAAUUGUUCCUUUCCACUAAUAAAAAGAACAUGAAUGCACAGUUAAUAACAUAGCUCUGACCCCUAUUCAGACUUACACACUGAAACACAAGCAAAAUCUGUUUUACAAAUUGAUGUUUUAUAAGGAGCAUGUAUAUCAUUUGGUUUGCAUUCUAAAGUGGUGUUGAGCUGAAGUCAUGAAAAGACAUGGACAUGCUAUGAAGAGGUUAGCCUAGUGGCCCUGGAGGGGCUGCUCACGCCACAGCAUUCCAACUGUAUUCAGGUAUGUGGAGCAGCAACAGAGAGCCAGCUGUGCUCAUUUCUGCCUGGCUCUGCAUUCAGUCAUGCCACAGUGGUACCUUGUGAGUGGCUCUGGUGGAAGGAUUUAUUCCUAGGAAAAUGGCACAUGCUACAAAUUAGGACUUUUUUUUUUUUUUUCCUGAAGAGGUGACUGUGAAAUAUUAACAUGUAUUCUGUGUUACCAUGAGCAACUUGCGAAACCUCUUGUUCCUUUGUUUCUUCAUCUCUAAAAUGGAGGAAAAUGAUGUUUCAACCUCAAAUGAUUUUGAUGUGGUUUAAAUGAGGUAAUGUAUAGAAUUUCUUAAUAUCUAACACAUAGUUCUCAACAGAUGCUAGUUUGAUUAUAUUUGGGCCCAUGAAUGUUUUAUGUCUUCUAGUGGGGAAAUCAACCUGAUAGGUCCUUUUUGGUAAAUGAGGAUGAAUCACAACAGUUAAAUAUUUACUGAAUAUUUGUUAUGUGCCAGCCACAAUUUUAAGUACUUUCUAUAUGUUAUUAGUAAAUAUCCACCCCAACCCAAUGAGAAAGGUACUCAUUUUAUCCCCAUUUUACAGAUGGUGAAAGUCUCAUGAGACCUAGAUCAACUUGGUUCAGGGUAUUGUGUUUACAGUUGAGGAGGGAAAGAGAGAACAGUUAGAGAGACAGACUUGCCCAAGGACGCAUAUAAGCUUUUGUGUUUCCUGAUUCCAGUGCAGCCCUCUUCUUGUUUGAAAAAGAGGUAGCAAGACAGUGCCUACACUCACCUCUAAGUGGGAAAAGCACGCACACUGGAAGGGAAUCUGAAAAACAAGAAAGACAUAUCUGGUGUUUUGGGGUCUGUCUUAACCUGAGUGUUAAUUUCCCUUCUCUGGGCUAGACAGUGAGUCUUUUAGUAGCUCCAAAGAGAUGGAGUUAUAAUUGCAGCAAGAGUUGGAAGCUGAUCAAAGGGCUUCAAGGAAAGUUUUAAAGCCUUCUCAGUGGAAAUACUCAAACCUUGCAUAGAAACAAAAUGCCUUACUUUUCAGUCCUUCUGCUUGAAGGGGGAGAAGUUCUCUGUCAGCCCUCAUUCCUUCUCAAACUGGAGUUACUUCUUUAUGUUGGGCCUGAGAGUGUCUAUAUGUGUGUUUGUAUGUGCAUGUGUAUGCAUACAGGCAUGCAUGUGCACCUACAGUUAACCUCUGAAAGAAGUGUCCAGUCUCCAUGUUCCCACAACUAGAUGGGUGACCUAGUCUCAGAGCCAAGAAAGCAGAAGUUGUGACCUGAUGGCAAACUUUGGGCACAGUCUACGCUGGAGAUGAAUCUUAUUAAUCCUCACUAGGCAGUUGUCCUGGCCCAGGUAGUCUUAGUAUUUGUUAAAGUAUGGGCAAGUCUGCUCAUCAGUCCCCUAUGGGGAUGCAGGAGGCUUCCUAAACUAAGGCAUGUUCAUUCUUCCUAGUGGACAAUCUGCAGCUAUGUUGGCAGAACAAAUUCCAGUAAAUGUUGAUAUAAUUUGCUCAGGAAAGUGUAAGUUAGGAAUGUUUUCUUUUUCUUUUCUUUUUUUGAUUGAGCCCAUGGCAUAUGGAAGUUCUCAGGCCGGGGAUUAAACCCAUACCACAGCAGUGACCUGAGCUGCUUUAAUGACAGCACUGGAUACUUAACUCUCUGUACCACAAGAGAAUCCAAUAUUUUCUAUUUUUAUAGGUAGGAAAAACAUUAUAUGGUGAUUGAAAAUAGCAUGUGACACCUUGUAUAGAAAUUUGGAGUGGGUCAGGCUGAGGAGUCUUAGGCAGGAGGGAAUCUAGAGGCAGAGGAAGGAAUGGAGUGAAUGGAGAGUCCUGGGUCUGGGAGGGAAGCUAAGAUCAUUGUCUUAGAAGCAGAGCCUGAGACUGAGGUUCUUGCAUACAUGAUUUAUUGAAGUGGUGCUCUCAGAAUAAGGGGAAGAAAGCUAAGAAAGUUCUUAGCUGGAACCAAAUUUCACUAUGAUCAAGAGGAGCUGUGGGUAGCAAACUGUACCCCAAAGGUAAUUGCCAGUCAAAGCAACGGGCCAGUCUUUUGUUCCCCAGGUAGUUAAUCAUUGGUCACUGGCAUAACGUCCGAGAUGAGGCAGUUCCAUUUCGCAUGGGGCAUGUCUCUGAGAUGGGCACAGCUGUGUGUCUUUUGCAACCAACAGCCACUACAGCUAGGGUUGGGUACAUCAACGUGCUGCAAGAACUUUGAGAAGAGCAAAGCAUACCCAGAUUGGGAAUUUUGCUUGGGAAAAGUAUUGUGAGGGCCCCACUGAAAUCUUAAGUGAACAGGCAAGUUUCAGAGAGAAUGCAGCAACUGGAAUCUACUAGUGUGUGAUGGGAUCCAAGUUACCUCGGCAUUGGCAAUGGGUGGCCUGAGAUCCAUGUAGGACUCCAGACUCAGGGCUUGCUUGAUCACUUCUUCUCUCCUGUCCAAGUGCUGUCUACAAAACCCUCUUGGAGUUUGCUGGCUGCUAAAGGGAUCAUUAUUGUUUUAGGAUUUGGGAAGUCUCUGAUGUUUAGUGGGAAGGGAAACUUAGGAUGGAGUGGGGCUCAUUUUUUCCAUGGGGCUGUGGGCUCGGGGUAGUGAUGGUGCUGAUGCUGUGAGGAUAGAAUGGACAAGGGAGGAAAAAAGAUGGAGCCCAGCGUCUGGCCUUAAGAAGCUUCACCACUCUUCUCCUAAAGAGAGGCCUAACUUCCUGUCCUGGCUGAGUCCAAGUCCUGGCUUCGUAAGGCACAGCCUGGGGCAAGUUGCUUCACCUUUCUGUGCCUCUUUUUCCACCACCAAAAUGAGGGAAAAAAAUGCUUAAUCUGUGGUUACUGUGAAGAUUCUCUAAGCUCAUAUAUUUAAAGUUAACUGCAUGUAGUCAGUGCCAAUACAUCACAUCACUAUAUGAGAUAUUAUUAGAUGUUAAAGGGUUUUGCUACUAGUAAAACAUCAAAUCUCUCUCUCCCCUUCUCUCUCUCUCCUUCAGAUUAUAGUUUAAUAUCUAAACAUAAGGGAAAUUGUGAAAAAGAGAAUUUGGAAUGUCAGAGAAGAAAAGAACAGAUACUUAACAUACAUUUUUUUCUGCAUAUUUUAUUGCCAUCCUGUGUAGUAAUUUUCUUUUACUCUGCACUCUUGCAUUUGUGAAAACAAUUUUGGGGUCAUAAGAGCCCAGGAGGUGAAACAGUGUGAAGUAAGAGCUCCUUAGUUACCGUGUAAGGGGCUGGGAAAAUUUGACUUUGAAUUAGCCAGGUUAAAAUGAGCUUGUAUUUUAAUAAAAUAACAAUAAGACAGUCUAAGCAGCUGGGGAGUGGGAAUUGUUUUGAAUUACAUACUAUUUGGAGAAAAAAGAGCUGUGAUCAGAAUAACAAGGUUUUACUGUACAUCACAUAUUGUAGGAAUUCUGCUGUCUCCUAGAAAUGCUCUUUGUGUCUUCAGUCUUUUAUGAUUGUCGUGCCAUUCUGGGAGCCACUCAGUCUUUUGUGUUAUUCUAUUGUCAGCUAUAAUGAAAUAAUUGGGAUGACAAUUAUUUGCUUGUUUGGUUUUAAAAGUUUUCUGUGUUCAAUUCCAUCUAUUGUCUGCCUCAUGGUACCAUGGUGUGAUAUAUCAUGCCUGCCUAGAUUCCAAGAACAAAAAAGAUGCCCCCCCCCCAGGAGGCAUGCCUCCUUAAACAGAGUUUAAUGGAAAUACAUUAAAACUACUAUAGCGAACAUUAAAAAUAAUUGUAGCCACCCAUGUCUCAAAUAGUUUAAAUAUACAAAGAUGGUAGAUGAGGUCACAGUUUCCAUUGGAGUUUAACAGUCUAAUUUCAUAAACCUUAAAUCAAAAUAGAUAGACUGACAGCGAGAGAGGAUUUGAGAUUAGACUUAUUAGAAAACUCAGGAAACAUGGCAGCUUGAAACAUAGCAGUACAGGUUGUGCCCAACCCACCUUUGCCAUUCAGGUGGCAUGUGCUAUGGUUGUGAAAGUAGGGUCACAUCGACUACUUCUCCUUUUCUCCCCCUGCACAGAGAUGUUAGGAAAUUAACGAAGGUUCUAGCAGUGAAGGCUUAGAUAAGUACAGGGGUGGUUGCCAUUGUCACACCGGCCUGAAUGAUGUGCAUUGCUAGGGCUCCAGUGCCAUUUGGAAGAAGGUGUUUAGAAGUCAGACUUGUUUUCAAAUACCAACAUUACCACUCAUCAUUAUUUGUGUAAAAAACCAAAACAAGAAGGGAGUAGGAAAUAAUAGUUUUUGCCUCAUGGAAUUAUUGAGAGACUCAAAUGAAAUGAUACAUGUAAAGACACUAAGCCUGCAUAAUAAGUGCUCCUUAAAUAGUAACUUGUAUUUUGUGACUCCUCCAGCCCAGGCUGGCUUCUUUUAGGUGUGUCCAUCUACCAGCAUUUGUGCAUCUGCUUUAGGGUCAGAACUGUUGACUCUGGACUGUAGGGAAUGAGACUGCCUGUUUCCUUCCUUGGCUUUAUUUGGCUGACCUCUCAACUUUCUCCCUCACCUGACUCUGAGUUUCAUGGGCACAGACAGAAAAGAGCUGUUGACUGUUAGAAAUGUCCAGCAGGUGAGGGAAGAGUCUGACUCUGCAUUUUAUAAUUGAAAAAGUUGCUUAAAUUUGUCAUUUUAGAAACACAUGUGCUUAUGUAAAUACAUGCAUAUACUACACACAUUCACGUGACCAGCUCAGAUAUUGUCCAUAGGAGAACAAAAUAUCUUGAUGAAAAUGAAUAAUUCAGCUAAUCACCCAGAUGUGGUAGCUAUAUGGUGCCACACAGCUGGAUGAUCUGAAACAGCUAGCUGUUUGGUGACUUGCAAAUAAAGCAUGUAGAUAAUAGAAUCUCUCUUUUUUUCCCUCCAGAUUUUUGGCAUCACUUAGACAUAAUCUAAAUGAUAUGGCAACAUAUGGUAAAAUCUCUCACAUUCAAAGGCAUGCAAGCAGCUAGCUAACACUUUCUACUAAAAAAAUUUGCUCAUAGGUAUGUUGAUGAAUAUAAGAUUCUUACAAAGCACAUCGUUUGAAAGAAAUAUGGCAGCAAAACAAACUGCUGCAUUCAAAGCAGGGAUAUUGAAAAAUGUCAGGCAAACAUUUUUAACCUCAUGUUUGUGUGCAGUCUGGUCAAAAGAGAAUAGAUUUUCUUUUAUGGAAGUAGUUUUAAAAGGGGCUAAAAGGCAAAGAUUUAGUGUUUGCAAGAAAUCCUUCAGGUUUGCCUAAGCUUCAAGAAUUCCGUCUUUGGCAUCCAGCUAUUCUCAUUAAAUAAAUAUUUUUUUGUUUCUGAUGUGUUCUGUUUGAAGGGGCCAGUUUAAUGUUAUGCUUUGAAAUUAAUUACUAUAGAAAGUCUAUGUAAAUAUGACUGUAAAACAGAAAUCAAACUGGACAGGACACAAAGUAGAUGAGUGGGAAGCUAAAAUAAACACCACAACAUGUGAGAGGUGGAAGGUUUAAAGAGUUUUUAGAUAGUCAGUAUGUUAGUUUCAAUUUGUAGAGCCCAAUCUUUAAGUGCUCUUCUGCAAAUAAGGGAUGAUUAAAGUUAUAGAGCAAGAAGAGAAUUUAUUGCAUUGGAUUUUUCAUUCCAAGUGCAGAGCUUUAAAGAAUAAGAGAAUCUGAGAACUGGGAUGGUAAAGAACAGCUAUCCAGGGUCACAAGUGUAAAUGCCUGAGCCCAUGCAAGUAAUUCACGGGAGUGAAGCAGGACAGAAAAUAGGCAUGUAGGCACAAUUGGGCAGCUCCAGGCAAAGAGGAGAGUAUCCUGGUGCAGAUAAUCAGCUCUAGCCUAUUGCCGCCAGGCAGGAAGCUGACUCAGCAUUAAGGGCUGCUCCAACUUUUUAGGAAAACCUGGAAUUCUAGCUUUUUAUGUACUGUUUCUAAAAUGUUUAAGUUUUGAUUCAUUCAUCAGUCAGCCUAGUGAUCUCCAGCUUGCUGCUUUUCAUCUAGUCUAUCCACACAUCUUAUAGAUGUGGAAACCAGGUCCAGAGAAGUCAGUGCCCUGCUGAAAGUCCAGUUGGGCUAAGUGGCAGCACUAGAACUUGAACCCAGAUUAUCUGCCUCCAGCAUUACUUCCACAGUGAAGACAGUGUUCUACUCAUAACAGGUUUCAACAAGUGAACAAUUCCAUAGAUUCAUAAAGGUUUUAAUAAUUAAAUUCUAGUAUACCCUUGGAAAUAUCUCUAAGAUUAUUAUUUACUCAAAAAAUUUUUGUCAUUUGUCUUUCUUAUAAAAUGUCUAUUUUUUUACUUCAUUCAGCUCACUUUUUCUUUUCCUAUAUUUAAUAUUUUUUUGUUGAACAAUGUUUCCACAUUCUCUCUGCUCUAUACAUAUAUCAUCUAAAUUUCUAUAUUUGACUCUUAUUCCUUGCAAAUUUUUGUCCUUUGUCUUUCUCAUAAAAUGUCUGAAUUUUUAAAAGUUUCAUUCAGCUCAUUCUUUCUUGCAUUUAAUAUUUUUUCUUUGUUGAAAAAUGCUUCCAUAUUCUCUUUACAUAUAUAUUAUCUAAAUUUCUAUAUUCAGCUCUUACUCCUUACAACUCAGUCUCUCAAGCUCUGAAUGGAUCUUUAAUUGAUUAUAUCAGAGGGGAGAAAAUAUAAAUUUGUAAAUCUGAACAUUAUGCAACUGGAGCUAGUUAAAAGAAUGCCUCUUCCAAGAAGGAUACCACUACAUAUUCCCCAUAGAAUAUGAGGAGGAUGCCCAUCUGUCUUCAAACCUUCAGAUCUUGAAUUCAAUGCCUGUAAGAGAAGAAGUACUUAAAGAGGCAGAUGUGCAUACUCUGGCUAGGACUUCUUUGUAUGACUUCAGAUAAUUUUUGGAAAAGUUUGUGUUCAAAGGUAUAAGGUGCAGGGAAAGAAAAACUGUUCUCAGGACACAGGGGUAAAACACAGUAAGGGGUCUAUUUCUCUUGGACUCUUAGCCACACCCAUACCAUAACACCAGGCUAGGGACAGUGUUUCUCACUUUUAUUUAGACUUGAUGGGAAAAUAUGCUGUGAUUCUGUUACUAAUAGUCUCCUACAUUUGAACUGCAUGUUAGUUCCCAAAAGACUUCCACAUGUUGCUUUCUUUAUUUUAUAAUGAGAAAACUGAGACUCAGAAAGGGUGAGAUACUUACUCAAUGUCUCCAGCCAAGUCAAGGAAGAGCUAGACUAGAACUGGAUCAAUUCCAGUUCUUCUGAGCACUCUUUUAUCUUUAGGGUUGCUCUAACCAGCCUCCAUGUCAUGACAAUCCAUGUUAGAUCACCUACUGGAAUGAUUUUGUACAUUUCCCUACCCUAGGUAAAGCCGUUGUAAAGACAAUGGCUAUACAUGAAAGCAAUUAAAAAUAUUAAUAGAAGUCUCUAUCGACUGAGGGCUGUUAUGGUAGAAAAGGAAGAAACAUUUUCCUGGCUAGGAUUUUCAUACUAGCAAAUUGGCUAUUCUGACUUAAAUUCAUAUUGUUACUAAUUGGUGUUAGAAUUUGUAUUCUUGACUGUGCAUGUGCUAAGUAGAGAUUUUCCUUACUUGUUUGAUUAUGGAAUAGUGCACACAUUUUACCUUAUGAAAGAAGGAAACAGCUUGUGCUGCCUCAGGAGGAAAUAUCUCAUCUAAUAAUUAUGCUUUGAGGCAUUGGCAUAGCUAAAUGCUGACCCAUGGGCAGGCCAUGGAAAGAAUCACGGAAAAAGCAGCUUUGUUCAGGGCUUUUUCCUAACUGGAUUUAUAAAACAAAUGUCUUUAGAGUAAAGCACUGGUGAAGCAGCAAACAGGCAGAUUAUUAAAGCAUCCAUCAUGAAGUUACAAGUGGGCCCAGGAAGGGUGCCAGUCCUUCUGACAGGGAUGCCUAGCUGAAAAUUUUUUGUGAAUUAUCAAGAGUUCCCCCAAAGAAACCUCUAGGCAGGAAAAAGGAAAAGACAAAGUGACUCCUUUGCAACUCUACUUCAGUAGUUUCUGAACUGUAGCUUCAGAAACCUAUCAAGGAAAGGGUCAGUUACAUAUAGGAGGCUGAGUUUUAGAGACUGGACAACUGAAUAUUCAGGAUUAUUGUAGUGACGGUACCUUGAGCAAGGCUACUUAUAGACUGGUUUGUUCAUAUGAAUGAGAACUACAUGUUUACAAUGUCAAGUGCUUUUUCUCAUCUGAUGAAAUGAUAGAAUAUGUCUUUUUGUAUUAAUAGAUUCACUUUUUAUUUAUGGUCUGAUUAACUAUACUGUAAUUCAAUUCAGUUCCUAUAGGAAUGUACUAAAUUUUUGCUUCACCCUCAGUUUUGGCCAAAUACUAUUUGGCUUUAGCUUUGGCCUUGGCCCCAUGACCCUUAAGGCCGAGUAACCAAAUGUUCUACUUCAGUGUUGUCAAUGACAUCUCUAAAUUUGGGAUGACCAGUGAUUGAGUGAUUGUGUUAGUUAUCAUCACGUAUAAUCAGCAUAAUAAAAUCAAUAAUAGGAACAAAUUCUGUCCAUCUGAAUAAUCACAUUAAAAUACAGGUAAACAAUAUGGAAUUCCUGUUGUGGCACAGAGAAAAGAGGAAAUGAAUCUGACUAGGAUCCAUGAGGAUACAGAUUUGAUCCCUGGCCCAGCUGAGUGGGUUAAGGAUCCUAUGUGGCUGUGGCUGUGGUGUGGGCCAGUUGUUGUAGCUCCAAUUUGACCCAUAGUCUGGGAACUUCCAUAUACCACAGGUGUAGCCCUAAAAAGCAAAACAAAAACAAAACAAAAAACAAAACAAAAAAAAAACCAAACAAAAAAUAAAAUACAGUUAAACAAUCUGCAUGUAAUGUGCUUUAUGUAUUGAAGUCUCCAUUUAAAACACAAUGUAUAUCUAUUAUUGAAAGAGUAAAACAUUUCAAUUAUUGAUCAUAAAUAUUGAUAAUUUCAUAAACAAAACAGUUAAGAACCUUCAAAUAGAUAGGGCUAUAAAUUUAUGAUUAAUAUUAAUAGAUAGUAGAUUAGCUCCCUGGCUUUAAAGAUUUAUAUCCUGUUUGCACCAGCAAAUGUUUAUAGACAAAUAAAUAAUACCAAAACACAUAAGAAUAGAGACUGUAUUAUAUUAUAGUUGCCAUCUUUGUAGUGUUCUUUGUUUGCACUAGAAAAACUAAACAAAAUAAAACUUUAAGAAUGGAUUUGAUUUUUAGUUAUUUAAUUCUAUUUAAAUAAGCGUUUUUAAAAAAUAGUCCUAUUUAGGAAAUUCUUCAGUAGCAUUGUAAAAGUUAGGCUUGUUAAAUUCUAUGAUCUUCAUACAUUGAAAAUCACUCUUUGUAGGGGUACAGUUAGAUGAGUUUUGACAAAUGUAAAAUAGUCGUGUAAUCACCAUCACAAUAAAAAUGUAGACUAUAUCUGUAUUAGUUUUCUAAGGCUGCCACUACAGAAUAUGAUGGAAUAGGUGAUUUAAAAAACAGAAAUUUGUUUUCUCAGUUCUGGAGUUUGAAAGUCCAAGACCAGAAUUUCAGCAGGUUGGGUUUCUUUUGAGGCCUCUCUCCUUGACUUGCAAAUGGCAACUUCUGCUGUGUCCUUAGGUGGUCUUUCCUCUAUGUAGGCACAUCCUUGGUGCCUCUAGUGCCCAAAUUUCCUCCUCUUGUGAGGACAACAGUUGUAUUGGAUUGGGGCUUGCCAUAAUGGCCUCUUUUUAUUUUAAUUAUCUCUUUAAAGGCCCUGUCUCCAGAUACAGUCACAUUCUGAGGUACUGAAGGAUUAGGGCUCAACAUUUGUAUGGAGGGACAGUUCAGCUCAUAGCAGUUUCCAUCACCUGGGAGAGUUCUUAUACCCCUUCUAGUCAGUCCCCUUCCUGACCCCAGCCCUAGGUAACAUUGAUAUUAACCGUUGCUACAGUUUGCCUUUCCAGGAUGUCAUGUAAGUGAAAACUACAGAGCUGCUCUGAAGGAUGCUUGCUCACCACAUGGAAGUGAUGGCAUCAUUCUGGUGCAGGAAUAUCCCUAGAGCAGGACCAUUCACAUGGAGAUGGUGGGUGUAGAUCCGAGAAUUCUCAACGCCCUCUGACUUGGUUGGAUUGCUGAGCUGGACACACACACACACACACACACACACACACUCACCACAAGUAAGCAACUGUGUCAACUAUGUACCCACCUCCAGGGGUACCCAAUACAGAGCAUCCCUCCUGUUGUCAGGGCACUUGGAAGAAGGAAGGGAUGAUAAUCAGGUUGCUGGAUGAGAUGGGUUAGCUGAUUCUGGUCCAGGCAACAAAAGCCUCAUGGCCAACCUUUCUCACAAGAGUGUACAUUUCUAGGAUCUGGAGGGCUGGAUAAUCCUCCUUGGCAGCCCCUUUCCUAGAAGCCAGAGAUGUCAUCCUCCUUAAACAAGGUCUUUUCUUCAUAUAGUUUACAAGACAAUUGAUGAAAUUAUAACUUUAAUAGUAUUAAUGUCCACUGCCAUUUGCAGACCACUCAUAAUGUGACAGCUAUCAGUUUAGAUGCUUUAGGUAAGUUAUAGUGAAUCCCUAUGAUAGUAAAAUUCUUUCUCAUCCAGCUAGGCCUUGUUAAGAUGUUUUUCUCUAAUUUUGUAUGUAUGUGUUUUUCCAGUUUUGCAAAUACAUAAAUUGAAGUUUAGAGUGCUUAAGGUAUUUGCCCAAUUCCUACAUCUUUCUUACAUUCAAACUUACUUUCUGAUACUAACAACCUAAUGUGGUAAUUGAACCUCCUAAAUGUUCUCAAUGUUUAUUUGAAGAGCUAUCAGGAAAAUCAUCUUCAGUAGUGCUGCCCUGAGCCUAUGAGGAGAAAGAGCAUGAAGGGCGAGAUGCUAAUGAUGAUAAGUAAUAAACAUAAAAUCAUUUCCUGUCUCUUUUCUAGAGCAGAUUACAACAAACAAGGUGUUUUAAAAUUCAUAGUCUCAUUUUAUCCUCUCAGCACAGCUUAUAUUUGGUCUUUCUAAAGGAAACGCUCUGAUAUGGGUUCAUAAAACCACAGUCCUACAGAACUGAAAGAUACGUGAAAAAUUUUUUCUUUAAUGUCUAACAUUUCAGAGAGAAAUAUAUUAGCCUAAAGGCCAUGGAAUUAAUAAAAAUUUUUUUUUAAUUUAAACAAAUGAAGAAGCUGAAGCCAGGAAAAUUACCAUAACUUGAUCAGAGUCAUAGAAAGGAAUUCUGGCUGCCUGAUCGCAGAUUUACUUCUUGCUCUUUGCCUCUACCCUACCUCUCAGAAGUAGAGUCAGGUGAUAUUCUCAUUGUUACAGUUACAUUUUUUUUUUCCUGGCAUAAGCCAGGGGUGACAUAUGGGAUUCAUUUUAUGUUCCAACUUGAAUCCCUUUGAAAUGGUUACCAAAAAGCACUAUGUUGACCAGGCUUUUGAAUGCACAUUAGGGUUUAAUGGGACAGAGUGUCAUAAUUGAUUACUGAUGUCUGUAGAGGGUUUAGGUUGAGGAUAAUGGCAGCACUCUCAGUUAAGUCAUUGCCACCUCAGACAUUUUCUUUUUUUUUUUUUUUAAGAAACAAAGAAUAAAUUAUACAUCACCAUUAACUACUUGUGGUAAAUAAAUCUUAUUAGCGAUUAGUAACUACUGGAGAUAGGUGAGAUUUGAAGAAAAACCUAUGGAACUGGCACUUGGGGUUGCUUAUAGAGGGCAGGCUCAGCUGGGGAGCUGCAGAGGUGGUAGGUGGGAGUCUGGGCCAGCAGAAUGAUCAGUGCAGAAUGAGUGCCUUGGACAUCUAUAGCAGAGCUAUGGCUAACACCAAGAGGCAGAAAGGAUUCAGAAAGCAGAAGUUGGAAGGCACUAGGAUGACCAACUGUCCCAGUUUAUUUGGGAUGAAGGACUUUCAGUUUUAAAACAGACAAUCCUGGAUGAACUGGGAGGAUUAGCCACCCUAGAAAGGCACUAACAAAAAUGUUGGAUAUGUCAUAGUUAAAGGGGAACACGCCAUUGGUCAGUGUAUUAAUGAGCUAUUGCUAUAAUGCUACAAAACAACUCCUAAUUCUUUGUGGCUUACAACUACAAAUAUUUCUCUUUUUUGGCUUUGUAUACUUGUUGUAGUUUAGCUGAUUAAGGUUGGGCUCAGGUGGGUUCUAGUUUGAGAGCUGACUGCAGUCUCCUCUGUAUGCUUGUCACUCUCUUUGAACUUGAGGUCUUUAGAGUUUUGCAAAUACAUAAAUUGAAGUUUAGAGUGCUUAAGGUAUUUGCCCAAUUCCUACAUCUUUCUUACAUUCAAACUUACUUUCUGAUACUAACAACCUAAUGUGGUAAUUGAACCUCCUAAAUGUUCUCAAUGUUUAUUUGAAGAGCUAUCAGGAAAAUCUGAUAAUCUGAUAAUCUGAUAAUCUGAAAUCUGUAAUUUCAUAAACAAAACAGUUAAGAACCUUCAAAUAGAUAGGGCUAUAAAUUUAUGAUUAAUAUUAAUAGAUAGUAGAUUAGCUCCCUGGCUUUAAAGAUUUAUAUCCUGUUUGCACCAGCAAAUGUUUAUAGACAAAUAAAUAAUACCAAAACACAUAAGAAUAGAGACUGUAUUAUAUUAUAGUUGCCAUCUUUGUAGUGUUCUUUGUUUGCAUUAGAAAAACUAAACAAAAUAAAACUUUAAGAAUGGGAUCAGUGCAGAAUGAGUGCCUUGGACAUCUAUAGCAGAGCUAUGGCUAACACUAAAGUUCCAUUGGCUUAAGCAAGUUGUGUGGCCAGACCCAACACUAAUUGGGUGGAGAAAUAUAUUCCAUGUUCUCUGAUGCCAUAUUCUUGCUUGGUCAUGUGGCACAGUGUGUGGAUGGGUAUUCCUUCUAUAAGGAAGGAGUGAGGAGUAGGAACAGUAUUCAGUCUAUGAAGUCAGGAAGUAAUUUAAGUGUUCAGACUCCAAGAAAUGUAUCUGCAUUUCCCCAGUGUUGGCAUACUAGGUGCCCCAUAUCUGUCUGACGAAUGAAUAACUCUAAAACAAGAUUUUCUAUAAAAAAGUGAUACAUGUUCCCACUUUUUAAAACAGUCAUUUGGCCCCUUUGUCAUUAGAUAUUAGGAGCCUUCUGAGGGCUCUUGUAGAUCAGAUGGCUAAAUGGCUGUUAGGAAAUCUUUUUUCCUCUGACGUACUGUGAUGCCUGGUCUGUGAGAAUUUUUUUCCCCCUCAGUGUUUCUUAUCCUCCAGGUAUGAGGGGUUGGUCUCCUUCCCUUAAGAGGAAGACAUAAUGCCCUGCGUAUGGGUGUUAAUUGCCCUUGAUUUCUUCUGUCCUCUCCAACUCUCUUCCUCGGCACCUCACCCUUCACUGGUCGGCAUAUUCCUGGCUGUGCCAAAAAUAUUUCUUGACUUGAAAAUGAGGCCUGUGAUUUUAAAACUUGUAUGUUUCAGAAUUAAAUGCAGAUAUUACCGGCACCCUCCCUUCCUCCACCUCUCUGUCCCCAUAGUCAGUGUGUGAGUGUGUGUGUGGAGUGGAUUUGCUGAAAUCAUUUUAAAUGUUUCUGUGAUCCUAGCACUGAAUUUCCAGUUUUGGAUACUUUUGGAUUUUUUUUUGAUAAGCAGUGUAAAAAACAGCUAGAUGAAGGGAAAAAUACAGGAAAAGUUAGCUUAAUAUUAGAUGAUCCUGCAUGAAAACCGAGCCUUCUCUGGCACACAAAGGAGUUCAGAAACCUCUCUUUUCCUUAGCAAGCACUCAGGUGUUCUUUUAUAUUUAGGAUCCAAAGUACCCAGGAAAGAGUCACAGAGCACCUUGGGUCAAACCUGGCUUUCAGCUCUGAAGACUUCCAACAAAGAAGUCUGAGAUCGUUGCAUAGCAGAAGCCACGGUUUCCUUUCAAGCCAGAAAAUUUAUUCAGAAGCUCAAAACGAAGCCACAGGACUGAACCAGCUGUGCUCCCUGUAUAGGCACAGGGCACCGCCAUUUACUCCUUUUUUACACAAAGUUGAAGGAACACAGCUGAAAACAGGGGUCUAUUCCUAUUUAAAAGAAACAUGUUCCUGAAGAGAACUAGCUAUGUCAUAAAUUUCAUCAUGUAGAAUUGUACUUUUUCACUGACUUCAAUAAAACAGUGGAAAAGACUUUCCAAAAAGAAAAAAAGUGUGGCCUCUACAUGCUAUAAUACAUGACAGACUGAGAGACUGGGAGGAAAUAGGAUGUUAGUAACACUUAAAGAAAUUACAAAUUAUAAAGGCUUUAACUGGAUGUUGAUCCAUGGAAGUUGAUUUGUGACAUAUUGCUGACAGGUAUUAAAGUCCCAGAAUGAAAUUGGGGUGGGGUCGACUCAGGGAUUUGCCUUCCUUCCAUUGAGGUGUUAUAGAGUUGUAUUUCUCCUUCCUCAUGCUGCCUUCCUCUCCUCUUUACCUCUCCUUGUUCUAGACGUACAUUGAGAGAAAAUUUCUAAGAGCUCUUUUUAGAGCUUCUGGCCUUUUUCCUAUCCUUAGACCUUGAGGAAUAUAAUGCAUUCCUGUCAUUACCAGUAACUCACUGUGUCUGAUUUUUCACUGGGCUGAAUGUCUACAGGGGUUCCUGUAUAGUUAGGAAAGAUGAACUUCCCUUCCCCCACCUCAUGUGAUCACUGUUUGUGAUAAAUUAUUUACUGUUUUUUUCUACUGUCUCUGUUCUCUGAUUAACUUGGUCAGUCACUCUUUAUGCCUCAGUUUCUUCCACUGUAAAGUGGAUAUAGUGAUACUUGCUCUACGUAAAUGGAUGGUAGUUCUGUCUCCUGCACAGCAAUUGGAAAAGUGUGGGAUGUUGUUUGGGUUGUUACAAGGGCUGGGUAGCUACUGGUAUUAGGAGUGGGGUGGGGGUAAGGUUGUGAAAUUGCCUGCAAUGCACAGGACAGUCCCACAUAAUAACUGAUUGUACCCAAAGUGAGAAGCAUUGCAAACAAAUAUGAACAUUCUGUGAAAAGUCUAAAAUGGCAUGUGAAUGCAAAGAGAGUCCAUUGCUCAUAUCACUGUCCCAUUAUUCCUGAGAGUACUGUGCUGCUGCUUUGAAGAGCUGCUGCCUUGUGAUGAGACUGGCUUCAGCUAUGCUCUUACCAUCUGCAAGAGGGAAACUCUUUCUUGCUAUUUAUUGUGAGACUGGAGGAUUCAUCUUCAAUUCAUCUAAGCCUGCUUAAGAAAAUACUACUACUUGUAAAUUAAUCAUCAUGGAUAAAAAUAACUAUUCUUAAAUGAGCCCUUACUCUUUUGUGGGAACAGAACCAUGAAAUUUUCAUGCUUUAACCUAUUUAUUCUUCACAGCAAACCCUGAAGAAGAUGAUAGGAUUAUCUAGCACAGAGAUGAGGAAAUUUUGGCUACCAAAGCUCGCAAACUUCAUUUUGAAUUAAGAACCAGAACUUCAAGGCAUGGUGAUGGUGGCUCAUUGCUUGGAUGAGUGCAUUUGCAAAAGUGGAGAGCAGAGACAUGAGGUAAAAUGGAGAGUCCUGACAAAAGCAAUUGGCAAAGGCACGGUUUACAAUAAACGAGAAUCUUGGAAUUUUAUGGCCAAAUUAUGCAGACUUUUCCAUAAAGAGUAAGUCAAAGCAGAUCAGAUAACUGGCUCACAAUUAACAGUGACAAAGAGCAGCAUUGUUCCCCUUCUGUGUUGCCCCUUAUGUGGGUUCCCCAUGGGUGUCCAUGGUGGAAAAGACUUUGGACUGUUGGAAAUGAGAGGAGGAAUGGACUGGGUGUGAAGAGAGGAGGACCACAUUGUUCAGCCCCCAUUGAGGACUUCAUUCUUGUUGCCUGGCUUCCCAAGUUCCCCUGAAUGUGCUGGAGUCAGAGAGGGUGCUGCAAAGAUACUUAGUUGGACCCUAGCAAAUUAAAAUGAUUAGUUCUGUCAUUACCAGAACUUUGGGCAACAAUAAAGGGACUCAAGGCCUGGCCGCUACAAGGGAAAAUACUCUCUAGUAAAAGGAAGAAAGUCUUAUAGUAUAAUCCCUAUGAUUUUGCAUCUAGAGUUUCAAACAGUGAUGUGCUUGAGACCUGAAAGACUCAAAGGUAUUCAUGUACCCACACAAAUGUGUACUUUGGGGGAUUUGGCCUAACCUUGAUUUGUGAGAUUUUGGUCAGUCCAACAUUCCAGCCCUGGCCUGGACCUCUGCCUCUGUGUCCUGGUAGGUUUCCACCUGGAUCCAUUCUGCCUCCUUUCAUUUCUGGCGUAACCCUGUUGUUUUCCAGUCCAGAACCCAAUGUGGUCCUUGCAAAUCAGAGUGCCAUAUGGAGAGGGAAGGAGGUAACAUUGAGCCAUCUCAUUUGUCCUCACAGCAUUCGUUUGAGGUAGGAAAGGGCAGGAAUUAAAAAUGGCAUUAUAGAGGGCCUUUACACAGUGAAGCAAUAAGAAAUCGAGGACCAGCAUCAGGGGAUGGUGGUUGACUGGGGACAAAAACCCCAGACUUCUAGUAACCUAUCUUAGACUGUUGGACUAGAUAAAGUAGCUAGCAUACAACAGGGAAACAGAAAAGCUCUGUUAAUAGUUUAAUUUUUUUAAUUAAAAAAAUUGUAUAAUCAGUAGACCACAUCUCAGCUAAAAUUAAUGGGCAAAUAAAACCUUUUUCUCUCUUGGUGGCAUUUGUCAGGUCAGAUUUUUUUUUUCCCCCAAAUAUCCUGCUUGGUCAAAAGCAUCUGGAAGAGCAGCCAAUCCAUUUCUCACUGUUUCCCUUUAGUUUUGACAAAAUAGACUCACAAACUGAGAAUGUGCAUGCCACCUCUGAGAACAUUAUUGCUUGGGUCCCCAAGUCUGCCAGAGCUGCCUUACAGCACUGAGCCAGCUCUGUCUGCUCAAGAUCAGUGCUCAUCUGGGUGCCACAAAGCUCUGCCAGAGGCCAGGGAAGGUUCUUAAUACAAAUGUCAGGAAACCCAGUCCACCAACCCAGGCUCCAUCCCCAAGUACCCAGCUCAAGUGUGCUAUAAAGAUUCCUGGGGUGGGACUAUUUGCUUGUAGAAAUAUUGCUGGCACAAAAGACACAGUGCCAAGAUUUUAGGAUCCUUAUAUAGCUCAUGUCUAUUAUAAUGGUCUUGGAUCUCUUCCUCUUGUUACUGUCUCUCCCUAGAAGCCUCUUACCUUGAACCUCUUGAUGGCAGAACAUUGUAAUGGAAAGAAACAAUCUUUGGACUGGGAGUUCUGACACUUAGGUUCUUUUUGAUGGAUUUAGUAUCUUUUUUCAUUGUUAAGCUAUUUGUCUGGUAGGGUGAGAGAUGUUUUCCUGAUUUUAUUUUGGGGAAUUUCAUUCUUAAUCAAAAACAUUUGUCCUAGCCUCAAGGAACUUCAAAUCUAACUUAAGGGAAAAAGUCAUACGUCAUUAUUCUUCAGUUACUUAAGAAAUUAAUAUUUGCAAAAUGUCUUUUGGGUGGUCAGUGGAAAGGUGGUUUUCUUCCUGCCAAGUUAAUCCAAUUUCAGUGACUUUUUUUUUCUUUUUUUAAACUCUACUGAAUCACCUUGUUUUGUCUUUGUGGCACAGCCAUUGUUAUUUGUAGGUUUUCAGAGUCAAGGGGACUUGAAGUUUGGUUCUUUUUGUAGAUAAGGUCAUUUAAGUCCAGAUACAUUACUGCAUUUGCAGGUGUAUAAGAUACAUCUUUACCUAAAUGUAUCAAAAACUUAUUAUGAGUCAUGGUUACUGCCAGAAGGAAGAUGUAAAUACUGAAUUUGCUUUAGAGCAGUUAUGUCAUUUAAAAAGAAAAUGCAUUAUUUUGUUUAUAAAGCUAUAGUAUAAUGCAUUUCCAGUAGAAAAUUAGAAGUUGAGAGUAUAUAAAAAUAUGUAAUCUGAAAAAGGUAAGUUUUGAAGAAUAGUUGUGGUCAUGCAUGCAAUAUCUUAUCACUGUUAAUAAAUAUGUGGUGAAAGUACAGAAAAUGCCCCCUUUCCCCCAAUUCUUCAGUGAAACUAUACAUACACCCUGCACACAAGCAAAUACGUUCAAUGACCUUUUAAAAUCUGACAUAAAUGUUCUUUGCAAACACUGGGGGCCCCUUCAGAAAGAGUCGCUUGUAAACAAUUUUCAGAACUGCUAAAAGGAUUUCAAAGGUUUUUUUUUUUCUCCUUUAACAGAGAAAGCCAUGUGAGAAGAGGAGGAGCAGGCGGGGGUGGGCAGUGUCAGAGAUAAGAACUACUGCUGCUAGAACCCCACGCCCAGUGGCUGGUUAGUGACUCAUGUUGGAGGGCAAUUGAGAGAAGCUCAGCUGGUGUCUU